rnacentral:rRNA from 1 species
GACGAACGCUGGCGGCGUGCUUAACACAUGCAAGUCGAACGGAAAGGCCCUGCUCUUGUGGGGUGCUCGAGUGGCGAACGGGUGAGUAACACGUGAGUAACCUGCCCUUGACUUUGGGAUAACUUCAGGAAACUGGGGCUAAUACCGGAUAGGAGCUCCUGCUGCACGGGGGGGGUGGGAAAGUUUCGGCGGUUGGGGAUGGACUCGCGGCUUAUCAGCUUGUUGGUGGGGUAGUGGCUGACCAAGGCUUUGACGGGUAGCCGGCCUGAGAGGGUGACCGGCCACAGUGGGCCUGAGAUACGGCCCAGACUCCUACGGGCGGCAGCAGUGGGGAAUAUUGCACGAUGGGCGGAGGCCUGAUGCAGCAACGCCGCGUGCGGGAUGACGGCCUUCGGGUUGUAAGCCGCUUUCGCCUGUGACGAAGCGUGAGUGACGGUAAUUGGUAAAGAAGCACCGGCUAACUACGUG